CUAAUUAUUCAUCACACAACGGCAGUAGCAAGACCCCUGUUUCUGUUUCGGUUUACAUCACAACUAGUCGGAUUUCUGUGGGUUUUUGUAUGUGUCUUGCUAGGGUAAAUGUUAGGCGUUUAUGAACAGACAGUUAAGCGAGUAAAUAAUCUUACCGAGCAAAACCAAGGUCCAGGUAUCUUGGAUUUGGGAACUUGCUGUCUGGAAUAGCUGGAGUGGUCAUGGGUCGACUGGAGGGAAUCAUGUAUUUAAACUAUUGAUACUAUACAUUGGUUUCGAAAUAGUUUAACUUGGGUUUACUAUUUGCUUCCGCUGAACAUGUUGGUUUUCAUUUAAACUUGUUAAUGAUAAUUGAGGAUUUUAUUUGGAAAUUUGUAUGGGUUCAAUGUAAUUAGUGGCUUGUU
rnacentral:lncRNA from 1 species